AGACCGCACCAAAAGAAAUGAAGAAGAAGAUAUUACUUCUGCGCCUUUCGGGGAAAGAAAAUAAAUGUUUUUAAGAUAUUAAUUCACCCCAUGAAAUGAUUUUUACUGCAAACACACUGUGGGGACAACAAAAGUCUACCCUUUUCUUAUUAGCUGGAAACACAUGGUGAUGCAUUUUUGUUUGUUUAGAGGAAAGAUUGAGACUUGUCUUGCUUGUUAAACAGCAGAUAGAUAGAAUGUAAAAUACAAACCAUAAAUGGAGAUCAAAGAGCUGGUAAAUGCCUACGACAAGUGUAGUGUAGAUGAGCUGUGUGUUUGUUUGUGUUUGUGUGUGUGUGUGCGUGUGUGUGUGUAUAUUUGUGUUUUUUCUGUUUAAUGGUCAGAUGGCUAUUGUGUGUAGUUUUUGCAUUUAUAUAUAAUACAGAUCAUGUGUACAGAUUUUACAUUUACAGUGCAUUUUCAUGAGACAGCUUCACAUUUUCCUGAGACAUGUGGCAUGCGUGUGUGUGUGUGUGUGUGUGUGUGUGUGUGUGUGUGUAUACCAGUGAGGUAAGAUUAGUGCUGCAGAACUUUCCAGCUCCCAGACCUGAUGAUCCCCCCACUGUGGAGCCUUCGUGGUGGUCUGUGGGUGGGGGGGAUAGCGGGAUCAGCCAAUGGGAGGGGUUCGUGUCUCGAGUCGGGAUCAUGUUGACUUGAAAUUAUGACACACUCCUCAUUCCCCUCGACUGCAAAAGCACUCACGGAAAUCACACGAAAAUUACGAGCGCAGAAGGAAAAAAAGACAAAGAGGCAAAAUACAAGAAAAGAAUAGGUUUGCACUCCUCACAUGUGUGUGUGUGUGUGUGUGUGUGUGUGUGUGUGUGUGUGUGUCACACAGGCCAAACGGCUCUCAAGCCCGAUCCGCCAGAUUUGGCUCUUCCCGCUCUUCUCUUCCUUCAUCUCUUUUUUUUUCCCCAUUUCUUUUUUUCCUCCUCCUCCUCCUCCUCCUCCUCCUCCUCCCUUUUCUUUUUAACUGGGCUCGCGCUCGCUCCUUCGGAGUGGCCCUUAAUUACAGGACGCGAUUGGCAGGACGCUCGAAUAUCUUGUUUUUUUGCGUUGUUGUUUGAGAUGUUUUGGUGGUUUUUCCCUUUUCUUUUUCUUUUUUUCUUCCUUUCCGGGGGCCCCUGUUUGUAGUGCGCUGGCCUGCGUGCGUCUCGUUCGUCCUUGAGAGAGGCCGGCUUGCGGUGUGAGCGGAGCGACGGGCCGGAAUGCGCCGCCACUGCCGCCGCCGCGCGCGCCCUCUCCCGCCUUUGAUGUCGGAGGCGCUAGCGUUUGUUUUUCUUUUUUUCUCUCGUGGUGUUUCAGGGAACCGGCACAUUGUUAAUUUGUGCUUUUCCUCCUUGUUCUCUCUCUCUGUCUCGCUUUGCUGUCUGUCCGACCUACGGGCCGCGUCAUUCAUGGCCAAAAAAACGAGGGAACACACAUGUUGUACGAAAGGGCUAAAUUCUCUCCCUGCUUUCUCGAGCUUGAUGUACAGAUGUCUCUCUUGAGACAUUGCCCCCGUUUAGCCUCCACAGUCCCACUGUCUGAUCAACCUCACUCCUCUCUCCUGCCAAGUCUGUUUGUGUUGUAAACUCCAGUGUUUCUCACUAAGUUUCCUCUCCCAUCAAACAGCCAUCUGCAAGCAGAAGCUUAAGGCAGCAAUGAGAGACGGAACCCUUUAAACCUGGGACUGGAUGUGGUUGGGUGAAAACAGGUGUCUUCGUGUUCCGUCUGCCGUCGGAGAGGGGACGAUUUACGAGUCUGUUUAUGAAGACGCUGUCAGAGUUGGCACUGCGGUGCAGGGACGCACGCUGGAUAAGAUGACACUCCCGAAAUAUCUCUCCCCUGAACUGGCUCCAGAGAGUGACAUCCCUCCAUCCGCCGCCCCUCCCUUUACGUGUGGGCCAGGCAGAUCUGACGAGGGAGCGGGAACUGAGACGGACAAAUAAAUAAAAAAAGAGCUGUCCUUAGAAGCUCUGGCUCAUCCGUCUCCCUUCCAUCCCGUGUCUCGUCCUUCCCUCUCUCUCUCCCUCUCUCCCUCUCUCCCCCUCUCCCCUCUCCCUCUCUCUUGUCCACCUGUGUAGCAAUCCACCCACAUAAGAGAGUCUGAAUCCAACUACACUUGUACUUCAAAGACCAUGAAAUCUUUAUUAAAAAAAUAAAUAAACGCAAUGUGUCGUCAGACGAGUGUCUCUGAAGUGAGUACAUUUUGUAUGACUUUUUUUUUUUGUGAAUGCCGUCUCCCUCGUAACUCUGUUCCUCAUUCUGUGCAGCUUGUCAGCUAGCCAGUGAAGUUGCGUCAGAAUGUCCGUCUCCAGAAAGACAA